rnacentral:rRNA from 1 species
AGAACGAACGCUGGCGGCAGGCUUAACACAUGCAAGUCGAACGCUCGUAGCGAUACGAGAGUGGCAGACGGGUGAGUAACACGUGGGAACGUUCCCCUCGGUUCGGAAUAACUCAGGGAAACUUGAGCUAAUACCGGAUACGUCCGCGAGGAGAAAGAUUCAUCGCCGAGGGAUCGGCCCGCGUCUGAUUAGCUAGUUGGUGAGGUAACGGCUCACCAAGGCGACGAUCAGUAGCUGGUCUGAGAGGAUGACCAGCCACACUGGGACUGAGACACGGCCCAGACUCCUACGGGAGGCAGCAGUGGGAAUCUUGGACAAUGGGCGCAAGCCUGAUCCAGCCAUGCCGCGUGAGUGAUGAAGGCCCUAGGGUUGUAAAGCUCUUUCGGCGGGGACGAUAAUGACGGUACCGCAGAAGAAGCCCCGGCUAACUUCGUGCCAGCAGCCGC